AGCGAACGCUGGCGGCAGGCCUAACACAUGCAAGUCGAACGGGGAAAGCUUUCGGGUGAGUACUAGUGGCGCACGGGUGAGUAACGCGUGGAUAAUCUGCCUUAGAGUGGGGGAUAACUAGUCGAAAGAUUAGCUAAUACCGCAUAAGACCACAAGAACUGCGGUUCAAGGGGUCAAAGGUUUUUCGCUCUAAGAUGAGUCCGCGUAAGAUUAGCUAGUUGGUAGGGUAACGGCCUACCAAGGCGACGAUCUUUAACUGGUCUGAGAGGAUGAUCAGUCACACUGGAACUGAGACACGGUCCAGACUCCUACGGGAGGCAGCAGUAGGGAAUAUUGCACAAUGGAGGAAACUCUGAUGCAGCGACGCCGCGUGAGUGAUGAAGGCCUUCGGGUCGUAAAGCUCUGUCGCAGGGGAAUAACACAAUGAAGGUAUCCUGUAAGAAAGGAUCGGCUAACUUCGUGCCAGCCGCCGCGGUAAGAC
rnacentral:rRNA from 1 species